rnacentral:rRNA from 1 species
CGUUAUGUGUGUGCUACCAGGUCGUGUAUCGCGUAGGUUGCAAUCGUGUCUCAGUAUUAUUGGGUCGAAAUAGCUCGUUGGGCGUGUGUUGCGUCUGCCGGGGAAACCUACUGCUUAACCUUGGGCGGGCGGUGGUUACGUGCAUCACUUGAGUUCGGCAGGGGAGACUGGAAUUCCUGGUGUAGCGGUGGAAUGCGCAGAUAUCAGGAGGAACACCGGUGGCGAAGGCGGGUCUCUGGGCCGAUACUGACGCUGAGGAGCGAAAGCGUGGGGAGCGAACAGGAUUAGAUACCCCGGAGUC